rnacentral:tRNA from 1 species
GGGAGUAUAACUCAGUUGGUAGAGUGCUUGCCUUGCAUGUACAGAGCCCUGGGUUUAAUCCCCAGCACCCUCC